UACGUAGGGUGCGAGCGUUGUCCGGAAUUAUUGGGCGUAAAGAGCUUGUAGGCGGUUUGUCGCGUCUGCUGUGAAAAUCCGGGGCUCAACCCCGGACUUGCAGUGGGUACGGGCAGACUGGAGUGUGGUAGGGGAGACUGGAAUUCCUGGUGUAGCGGUGGAAUGCGCAGAUAUCAGGAGGAACACCGAUGGCGAAGGCAGGUCUCUGGGCCACUACUGACGCUGAGGAGCGAAAGCGUGGGGAGCGAACAGG
rnacentral:rRNA from 1 species